GAUAUAAGUCAGAGUACAGCUGAAAAUGUCUACUGAACGGACUUCUUGGACAAGCCUGUCCACCAUUCAGAAAAUAGCCUUGGGCCUUGGGAUCCCAGCCAGUGCAACAAUUGCCUAUAUCCUAUACCGCAGGUAUAGGGAAAGCAGAGAAGAGCGGCUGACAUUUGUUGGGGAAGAUGACAUUGAGAUAGAGAUGCGGGUUCCCCAGGAGGCUGUGAAACUCAUCAUUGGCCGGCAAGGAGCCAAUAUUAAACAGCUGCGGAAACAGACAGGUGCUCGGAUUGAUGUGGACACAGAGGAUGUAGGCGAUGAGCGAGUGCUGCUUAUCAGUGGUUUUCCUGUUCAGGGAGAGGCGGCGAGACAAUUCGUUCUAUCUGUAAGGCCUCUGGAGCCAAAAUUACCUGUGACAAAGAAUCAGAAGGGACAUUGCUACUAUCAAGACUUAUAAAAAUCUCAGGAACACAGAAGGAGGUGGCAGCAGCCAAGCAUUUGAUACUGGAGAAAGUUUCAGAAGAUGAAGAACUUCGGAAGAGAAUUGCUCAUUCUGCAGAAACCAGAGUCCCACGCAAACAGCCAAUCAGUGUGAGAAGAGAAGACGUGACAGAGCCAGGUGGAGCUGGAGAGCCAGCUUUAUGGAAAAACACCAGUUCUAGCAUGGAGCCAACUGCACCCCUGGUGACUCCUCCACCCAAAGGAGGAGGCGACAUGGCUGUGGUAGUGUCAAAGGAAGGUUCCUGGGAGAAACCUAGUGAUGACAGCUUUCAGAAGUCUGGAGCCCAGGCCAUCCCAGAGAUGUCCAUGUUUGAAAGUAUGUAACAAAGAGGGAGCCCAUUAAUCAUAGAAGAUAGAAAUACUGGCUU
rnacentral:sRNA from 1 species